AAAAAUAUAAAAAAAGGCAGAGCCUCCAUCCCUUUUGGCGUUCUGAGAUCCGGCGCCAACCUCGACGGCGAUUCGCCGUGCAGUCACCGCGGCCAAAGGCCGACGCGGCGCGAGGAGGUCCCCUAUUUCCGAGCUCUAAUAUGAACCCAAAUAUAUGGGUUUUUCGAUCCCUAAAAGCGAAGAUGAGAGACUCAACCCACCCUCUUUCCGAUUUAGGUCCGGCGACGGCGCAGGUGGGCAGAAAGCAGGUGGCUGAGGUGACCAGGGUCGAUGGCGCGGCGGUAAGGUGAUGAUGGGACUAGCGGCGCACCUGCAGCAGAGAUUAGGGUUUCAAAAAACUGAAACCCUAGUUUGACCAUUAGGUUUUUUUGAGGCUAUUGGGCUUUGGGCCGGGUAUUGUAAUUGGGCUUCAGGAUUGGGUUAAAAUUUUGUAAAUGGAUUUGGACCAUUUGGUUUGGAGGCCCGGGAAAAUUUGGGCUGUACACUAGCUUUAUGGAGCGAUACAAUGAGAAUGUUUAAUGACUCAUUGGAGUCGAAGGUCCAUGACUAACCAUGGCAUAAUUCUAGUGGAUGACAGGUUCGCCUUAUUGUAAAAAGAGAAGUGUAACACCCUUCGUCUGGCUUGGUCGUCGGACCUAAAUUACGAGAUGCUACAGUAGA